rnacentral:rRNA from 1 species
GGCCUAACACAUGCAAGUCGAACGGUAACAGGAAGAAGCUUGCUUCUUUGCUGACGAGUGGCGGACGGGUGAGUAAUGUCUGGGAAACUGCCUGAUGGAGGGGGAUAACUACUGGAAACGGUAGCUAAUACCGCAUAACGUCGCAAGACCAAAAAGGGGGACCUUCGGGCCUCUUGCCAUCGGAUGUGCCCAGAUGGGAUUAGCUAGUAGGUGGGGUAACGGCUCACCUAGGCGACGAUCCCUAGCUGGUCUGAGAGGAUGACCAGCCACACUGGAACUGAGACACGGUCCAGACUCCUACGGGAGGCAGCAGUGGGGAAUAUUGCACAAUGGGCGCAAGCCUGAUGCAGCCAUGCCGCGUGUAUGAAGAAGGCCUUCGGGUUGUAAAGUACUUUCAGCGGGGAGGAAGGGAGUAAAGUUAAUACCUUUGCUCAUUGACGUUACCCGCAGAAGAAGCACCGGCUAACUCCGUGCCAGCAGCCGCGGUAAUACGGAGGGUGCAAGCGUUAAUCGGAAUUACUGGGCGUAAAGCGCACGCAGGCGGUUUGUUAAGUCAGAUGUGAAAUCCCCGGGCUCAACCUGGGAACUGCAUCUGAUACUGGCAAGCUUGAGUCUCGUAGAGGGGGGUAGAAUUCCAGGUGUAGCGGUGAAAUGCGUAGAGAUCUGGAGGAAUACCGGUGGCGAAGGCGGCCCCCUGGACGAAGACUGAC